CAGGGAACACACUCUACCCUAGGGCCAGGGAACUCCUCUGAGAGGCAGUUUUCCCUCCCCAGCAGCACUGGCUUUUUGCUGCAUGCCACAAAGUCAUAGGGGACAGAAAAUGGCACCAGGAACCAUUUCCCCAUUUCACACAGGAAACCAUGCCAAGACCAAUGCUCUACACAGCUGCUGGUGAUCUGGAAAAGCCAGUCAGGAGAAGCACAGUAGAUGGAGAAGCCCUGGCCCUGCAUCAUCACUCCCAAGCUGUGAACCACCAUCUGUAAAUCAGCAGAGCCAAGAGAGCUGUGCUCUGUUUCCACCACUGCCACAGGUUCUUUCAGAAGAUUAAUGAGGCAUCAAUCUCUCAAAGAAGUGAGAAAAAACACUGAACCUUUUAAGCCUUUGUAUUAUACACUUGG